rnacentral:lncRNA from 1 species
UCAUGGCUCUUGUUGCCGUUUUGUUCGCCGUCCUCUCCGUUGCUGUUGCACAAUCUGCAGAGUCUCCUGCUCCCCCUCCGGCUUCUCCGGCUAACUCUGUCGUUCCUUCCUUGAGCUUUGCUUGUGUUGGUGCUUUCCUUGCUCUUCUCUUUGGAUCUGCACUCAAGGCUUGAAUCUCACAUUCAUGAUACUUCUUCCUACGCGUUUUGUGAUUUUACCCAUGGAUUCGGUUACUGAUGAUACUCCAUUAUUGAGGGUUUUAUUGACUAUAUUAUUGAGUGUAUAGGACAUGGUUUUCGACGAUGUCAAGAUUUAGCUUUUAUUAGAUAUUGGUGGUUUGUAUUCAUGUAUUAUUAUCAUUAUUAUUAUUCAUUGUGUGUUAUUUCUCAUUAUUAAUAUUGUUCUUUUUAUAUCUCCACAUUAUUUGAGUAAAUAAAUUAUUUCAGUUUUCUAAACUCUCUGUUUCGUGAGAUUGAUUGAUCAACAUCUCUAUUCUCUCUUCACUCCAAAUUGUUUAUAAACUGUAUCAAUACUUGUGUAUAAUCGGGAAGCGGAAAUGAAGCUAGAGAGAUUCCGUCUUCACUUCCUAAACCAUUCCGUCCAAACAAGAUUUUAACUUCACAGUUCAAAAUUUGAAAUUCCAACAAAAACAACCAUCGGGAUGGCUGUGUUUGGUAAUACUAGAAAUAUGUGUAUCAUUUAUCUUCUUCGUAUUAUUAAAUAUUAUAGAGGUGUGAGGUGUAAUUAGCGUCAUAAUUAAACUACUAAUGAUGAAUGGAGUCCAAAUCCACCAUCGUCAAAACUAGAAUUAAAUGCCUCAAUUAGUGAAAGGUGAUGGGUUUUGUCUGGUAUACUCUCAUUGUCAUCUCAUUUCAAAUGGCUCUCUCAUUUAGGUUAUCAAAGAUAUAAUAACAAAGGAAAAAACUUGUAAAUUAAUGGUGGCUUGGUUAGAGAAACACCAUCCAUAGUUGAUUCAGACUCCAACGCACAUAAGGUGGUGAAAUUAAGGGAGAAUAGAGGAUGGAAGAAUUUGUGAGAAAAGAAAGGGUGCGUGGCGAAGUGUAAAUGGUGGAGAGGGACGGCCUGGCCAUGUGGGUAUAGGGAUACGCAAUAUCUCGUGUGAGAGAAGUAUCCAACUAAAUGAUGCCACGUAUCAGUGAUAUUUUAAAAGAAUCACGCGGUUUGUCUGAGAGCAUAAUACCCAAAUUAGGGUGUGUGAAUACGAACAUGAACAUGAACAUGAUCAACAAUAAUAAUAUAAUAGAUCUUAUGGGUUUGUGCAAUCCACGCCUAUGAGAUUAUUAUAUUUGUAUCUUUUCCAAUUUUCGAGAACUCCAUUCUCCAUUCUUUUUUUUUUCUUUUUUUUUCUUUUUAAUUUUUUAAAAUUUUUCGUAUGUAUCUUUCUUUUUGUGCGAUUUUGAACCAUCGUCUUUGACUUCAACAUAAUGCAUUAGUAAAGACAAAUAUAUGGUUUUGAGAAUGUGACUCUCCAAUUUUGGAAUUCUUUUGCUAAUACUGAAUGUUGCUGUUAAUAUGUAUUGAUGUAAAGUCCCAAGUGUUUAUUUUUCCAUGACAGUGCUGAAAUUAACAUAACUUAAUUCUCAUCUUGAGUGAUACAAUAUUACAAUAUUAAAUUAAUUUAAGAUAAUUGAAAUAGUGUUUGUAGUAUUGGUAUGGUAGAAAGAAAAAACCUUUGAAAUUAAACAAUUCAACUGGUUCUUUUUUCUUUAAAGACAGGUCAGGUCAGACUGUUCUCAAACUUUUCUUGAAUUUGAUUCCAAAACCUCAAUGACCAAUUCAGAAUUGAGAAUCCAUUGGAAAAAUUUGCUAUCAGAGUACCCACUCAACCAAUCUCCCACCCCUCACCCAAACUUCUUCCAAAAAACAAAGGAUAAAGGGAGAUUCAUCACAUUAUCGAAAACCCCCAGAUAUCUUCAAACUCCACUCUUCUCUAUCUUCAAAUUUCGAAAGUAAAAAAAAACCAUGUUUGUUAGAUUAUCUUAUUUAAUUUGCAUAUUACCCUGACCUCCCCCCUCCCCAUAAAAACCGUGAAAACAAACAGCAUUUUCAAGAGGAUGAAUGAAAUAGAAUGAAUAAAUAAAUCAAGAGAGGAAAGGAACAAAGAAAAAAAAUUGCCUACUUUCUCUGCUCUGCCCCUUCAAUCUACUAACCAUUUUUUAAAAAAAGGGAAUCCAUAGAGUUUGUACAUUUUAUGGUGAAUCCUCACUCAUUUCACUCUGAAUCCGACUCCAUGUUACCCAUUGCCUUCAAUCCUCUCGGUCUCUGCCAUCAAAUUUAUAAUCAAACCAUUAAUCACAACUCUCCAUUGAUUAACACAUUCAUCGAUUUCAUAUCAUUAGCUCGAGAUACUCACCUUCUUAGAAAUCUUCUUUUCCCGAACUUCAUACCGCUCGAGAGUCAGAUCUGAUAGCCAUGCCCCCGGACUCACCAGCUGCAGCAAACCAUUUCAAAAUGUUCAAACCCCAUGGAAUAAAGCAAAAGGCACCCAUAUUCAACAAUAUACAAUGCAUAAUCAGGUGAGGUAAUAAUUGUUAGGAGGUGGGUAUUCAUCAGCCAACAGCUUUGGGGCCCAAUCUAAAAAAAGCACUUUCUUUACAAAAAGAGCUAAGGGUCCCAUUUGUCACUGAUAACAUACCAAUCACCACCCUACACAUGGCUGAGCAUCAAAUGGCAUCCGAUGCAACCUCCCUUUCUAAUCGUACCAUCUCUCUUUAUUGUUCUCUUAAUUACAAUUCAUACCGUUUAACUAAUCCCACACCCUCCUCCCCCAAGUAAUUACUCUACUAAACCCCUUUUUAAAAUUUCAACACUUAUUUGUUUUAAGCCUAAUUUAAAAACAUUUAUAUAGCUAAUGAGUUUACUUUACUAUUUGAUACUGUACCGAAGUCAUCGAACAAACCUUAUCUUUAUUCUUUAAACAAGGACUUGGUUUAACUUCCUUAGUCGGUUUCAGAUUUUUUUUUUUUGUAUCAUCUUCCAUUUUCACUUUAAGUAAAGAAAACCCCUAAAGGAAUUUAUUUGUUUAUUAACUUUUUUGUUUCUAACCCUAGAAAAUUAUAGGUUUGAGAAUGCCGAGAAGACAAGGGAGUAUGAUACAAACAGCACAGCAGCCAACCUGCAAAAAAUAACCGUACACCGUGUCCUAUCCUAUACAAGAACGUGAAUCAAACGCAGCCCGUGAAAGCUGCAGUGUUGUUUUCUUAUAUGAAUAAAUUUAUUUAUUUUCUCAUAAUUUUUAUGUUAAAAAUAAAAAUAAAUAAAUAAACCCUUUUGAAAAUUUCCUAUGGCUACACAAAAAGAUAAAUGAAUUAAUAGUUAAAAGAGGAUGAGAUUAAGGGGGGGUGGGGGGCUUACGUUGACGGUGCGUUGGAUAAUCUUGGCACGUUUCUUGGGUCUUUGUGGCAAUUUAGAGCCUUUGAUGGCUAAGAAAUCCUCUUCUUUCUCUUUGUUCGUCAAAGCAAUAGCGAAUUUUGGCGGCCAUACUUGAGGCAGAGCAGCUUCCCCACUCCCACCGGAGGAAGACCCACCUUUUUUACUAUCGUGCGCCGUCUCCGAUGUAGUCCCCGAUUUAUUGUUAUUCUCAUUGUGAUGAUGAUGAUGGCUGUUGUUAUUGUUGUUGGAAUGAUGAUGGUGGUUAUUACUUCCUCCUCUUCUAUCGUGCGCCACUCUGUCUGGCGACGCAAUUCCCCUAACCCCACCGUUGCCGUGCCCUCUCAUCGCCCCCGCCGUCUCGGAGUUCCUAUUUAUUAAAAACAAAAAAACAAAAAACAAAAAACAAAAACAAAAAAAAAAGGAAAAGACGUUUUUAUGUAAGAGUAAUAUGAAAAUAAAUAAAUAAAAGUAGUAAAAAGAAACUAGAUUUAGAGAGGAAGGAAGUCAAAUUCCGAAAUUGACCUUUGAGGGGAAGGAUCUUUAAGAUCGGUGAGACAAGUAUAGCGAAUGUGGGGGAGAUGGUGAUUUUUGGGUUUCCCUUUGGAUUUGGUUUUUCUUCAAUUUUCUUUUCUCUUUUAAUUUCAAAAUAAUAUCAAAUAAAAAGUAAGAACAUAGAUGUGGGUUGUUCAUAGCCGUCCGAUUAACAUAAUUCCCUUCACCAUCGUUAAGAUUACGUGUGACGACGACGUGAAGGUCUAUUGUGACUGUACACACUCGUGGGUCCACCACACACUCUUUUCCCUAAUCCCAAAUUAGUGAUCACACGGCUCUCAUUCCUCCACACAAAAAAGCUUAUCACUAAAAUCAUUUCCAUUAUUCACAAUCAUGUGCUUAAGAUUAACAUCUUAACAUCGUCAUCGUCAUACCAUAAAAUUUAAAAUUUGGAAUAAAUACCUGAGAAUGCGGUGGUGAGGAGGGGGCAGUUGAGGAGAAGAUGGUCGUUGGCGGAGAUUCAGAUACCCAUUGGCAGGAGGACCAUGGGUCCGGUUCGGGGAGUCUUUAUCGGUUCUAACGACUCGGCGGUCGACUCGGGCGGUGGUGGUACGGUGAGCCGGAGUGGCGGGGUCGGUUUUAUCUCUGCCUUGGACCUUCAUGCAUCUAAGGCGCUUCCGGUUUCCCCACUGCAAAACAAAGUCCGAUGAUGGUGUGGUUGUUUGUCUUGUAGCAUCGGAAUUGGAUCUCAGUACGUCCACUCCGCUUCUCCCCGAUGUGUCCACUUUGUUAUUGGCGGUGCCGUUGCUAUUAUUAUUAUUAUUGGUUCUUAUGGUAUCCCUUUCCAUCAGGCUUUUAAAUAUAACUGUAAUGUGGAAUGGACGGCUAACCCAAGUUAGUUGAGGUAAUCAACCAUGGUUAAAUCUCCAUAAAGUAAAACAAAGAAAGAGGGAAAAUGGAGGAAUUGUGUUGGAUUUUGCAAUCAACCCCCCACAUGGCCUAAUUAGCGAAAACAGGUAAACAAAGAUGAACCUUCUCCAGCUAUUUCCGAGUUCAGAUAAACUCAUAAUCGCGAGAGCUUGUGAGGGAUUUAAUUAUGCAAGAUCAAGGUCAGAAAAAACUUUUCAUUACAAGAAGGAAAAUGAGGAGGUUUUUUCUUUUCGAUUUGAUAUUAGAUCUAAACCCAGAAAUCCAAUGAUAGGUAAUGCAUUCACAAAAUCAAAAAAGAUAAGAGCAUCUGGGAAAAUUCGUCUGCUGAUUGCGAAUCUGAACAACAAAUCAAACUCGCAUCUUUCCAUCAUAGAAAGAAAUCCAAUUGAGAGGAAAAUCCUGUCCGUGAACAUUUUUGGAGAUGGAAAUUUCUGAAGCCAUACACAGAGGAAAGGUUUUCAUUUUCUCCAUCAACAUAUGAAUUUUAAAAAUUUAAUAAAAACUCUCUGAUUCUUCGAAAUGAAGAAGAGAUGAACAAUGGAAGGAGUAGGAUAGUCUCUUUAGAGAGAGUAGAAAAUGGAGGUGAAUAAAAUUUGAUGCAUUACCUGAAAAACCUGAACUGAAGCAAACAAAAACCAGUGCGCAAAAUCAAAAGGGAAGCGUAGGAAGGCGACUGAUGCCAUGAGAUGAAGAAUAACGAAGAAUCAAAAUAAUCCCCUCUGCCCCAAACCACCGAAUGGAGGAAAAAACGAAAGAAGCCACAGUACAAAAAACAACUGCACAUCAAACUCUCGAACUAAAUCUCAAAAACCCAGUUGAAUAUAUACGAUCUACGAUUCAGGAUAAUUUUCUUUACCUGUGAUUCAAAGAAAUUCCCAACCAGAUGGUCGCUUCUUUUACUCUUCAGACUAAGCGAAAAUGCGAAUCAGAAACCAAAUUGCAACGACGGAGUUCCAUCGCUCAGAGUUCUCUUCUUCGACUAUCGAACAACAGCCCUGUUUCCACCAUCUCCAAUCUUUCCAACAGUUUGGAUUUUCUUCAGACAAACUAAAAAAUCCGUUUAAAAAAAUGCAUCUGAAAUGAACAAACAGAUUACAGAAAAUCAAUAAACGGAGUCAUUCCACAACCAAAAACACAAAUAACUAACAACCCAGUGAAAGGAAUUUCUCACAAAUUUGCAAGCCUCUGUAAACUUCAAGACGUCCCCCAGAUGAUUACAAAUGAAAAGGAAUCGAUUGGGUAAAUAAGAGAGCAAAAUUCGCUUGUAAAUCAAAUCCACUCCGAAUUUGUUCAACUAGAAAUUCCCAAAUGUAUUCGUGAAAAAACAAAAACAAAAACAGUCACGCCUGUUUAAUUAUUUCUUUAAACAGAUCAAUUCCAAAAGACGGAGAAAAAUUGAAGCAAGGAGCGAAAUUGUUCGACCCACAAGCUUGUUUACAAAUGAGAGAUCCUCAGCAUUCCAGACUAGAAUUGAGAACACUAAACUUCGUUCCGAUUAGAGAACAAUAACAAGGAAAAAACAAAACAGAAGAGAAUUUGAAAGAACGCCAGAAGAACUGGAGAGAGCUUUCUUCUUCCUUCUCCUUCUCCUUCUCCUUCUUCUUCUUCUUCGUUUCUUGUUCUUCUUCUUCGUCCCUCCUUUUCAACAAAUACAAAACACACCCUAUGAAACGGAAUUUUAUACCCUCAUUACAGAUUGAAUCGCACACUUGCUUUCUCCGCCGUUCAUCAUACAUCAAACGACUAUCCUUUCAUCUCACCAUCCUUCUCUCUCAGUGCCCGCGUUACGGCGUCGUAUCAUGUUUUGGUUUUCCUAACCCUUUUUUGUUUUCCUUUCUCACGGCCUUUAUUGACGUCAAACGGAAUCUUCAACGCCGUCAAGUUUUUUAUUAUUAUUUUCGCGGGGGGGAAAUUAAAUGUGGUUUCCUUUGUUUCGGUUGGGUGCGACGGCCCAUUUGGGUGAGACCAAUGGGUUGGGUUUGGGUCCGCUUUCGAACGUUAACCGUGGUUAAUUAUGUAACCACGGUGGAUGAGUGAAAAAGGAGAUGGUAUCCACUGUGACCCUCCCUAUUAUCCUAUCUAUGUGCUGGAGAUAUCUAUUUAAGAUUUAACAUAUUUUCCUAUUUAAAUUCAAUUUCUUUACCUUUUCUUUUUCUUAAUUUCUAAUUUUAAAAAAAUUACAAGAUGUUUACUGCAAUAUGUGGAGAAGUAGUAGUUUAUAAACUUCAACAAUAUUGGCUUACUUUGGUUUUUACUAUUUUAUUAUUAUUGGUAUUCUAAAUUCAAAUAGAAAAUAUCUGUUUCACCAACUCUAACAAAAAUGUAUUGGAUUUUAAGUUACAUUGUUCUUUACUAUUAAUUUAGUCAUUUUGUGUAUAUACCAAUAUUCGAAACUAGGAGUAGAAACGUUGAUCCAAGGUCUUUUUCUUUUUUUUUUUCAUUAGAAGAAGCUUGCAAUAUUAAAAUAGGUUUUUAUAUUAUAUAGUAAUACUUACGUGCAUUUAUCUUCACCAUUCACAUAUGAAACAUAUUCAAAUAUUCUAUAAAUAAAUAAAUAAAAUCAAACCGUAUUGUAACGAGUUAUUAUUUUACAAUUUGAUGAGAUGCAUAAAGAUAGGUGAUGCUCAAGAUGCGCCCAAAUAUAUAUAUAUCUUUUAUAUACACAAUUUUCUUAUUUUAAAUUUUGGCAUGAUCCAUAGGACAAGUUGUAUGUUGAAAAAUGUUUAGCUUGACCCGGAAAAAAAUUUCUUCCAAAAAGUCAUUUAUUUUUAAGCAUUACAUAUAUAUAUAUAUAUAUAUAUAUAUAUAUAUAUAUAUAUAUAUAUAUAUAAAAAAAAAGAAUGGUGAUGUCUUUAGUUACAUUUUCUCAAAAUAGUAUUUUUAUACCAAGCUUUUUUUAAAAUUUAUUGUACACUUAAAAUAAUAAUGUGAAAGAAGACUAAAUAUUGAAGACUAUGAAUUGGACACUUAAAUGAGUUAGGAAGUUUAAAGUAACUCUUACCUCCAUUUUCUUUAACAUAUUUGGUGGUCGUAUUUAAAAAUAUUAUAUAGACUAAAGUUUCACAUUUUAAAAUCUUUUAAAUGAAUUUUUUAUAUAUAUAAAAAAAAAAGUUAUAAUUUUUAACUAUUUAGUUUACUAUCUUACUUCAUGUUUAUUAUGAUUGUCUCAUUUUCAUAAUUGAAAAACAUAUAUCAUUUGAUUAAUUAUAUUUAAAUUAAAAUGAGUCAACAAAUUAUGUCUUUUUAACAAGAAUGACGUAACGUUAUAUUUUAAUUCAAAAACAUUUACGAAAAAAUGUGAUAAUGAAUUAAUUCAUCUUUUUUUUAGAAAUGUUUGUACGAUUUGGCUUAUUUUGAUUUGCUUUGGAUCUUUGUUGGAGUUUAAAGCAUGCUUGUAGUUUUUGAAGAUUGUAAUUUUAAGUCACGGUUGGUGCAUCCAUGGAGAGGCAUUUUUUCUUUUGUUUAGGAUAGUUAAUGUUUUUUUUUUAUUAGUAACGAGUGAUAUUGUUUGAUUUUGAUAUGUAACAUUGGUUCUAAUUGCUUGGGGUUGGUAUUGAGGAAACCCUAAAGGGCUAUUCUCUAUUUAGACUUUGUCUUCAUUUAUAUGUACUUUAUUUUUUUUGGUAAAUUUUUUUACAUUAUUCAUUUUUCCUUUAUGUCUUGUUGAUUUGUGUCUUAGCUUUAAGGUCAUUUUUCCUUUUCAGCAGUCCAAUACAAUUGGAGGAAAAAAAUUAGAUAAAAGAGAUAAAUUUUGUCUUAUAUCUCAUUUCUAUCUUUUUUUUUUUUCUUUAUUUUGUUUCAAGAGUUAUACCAAGACUGUGGUAGAUAUUUGAAUUUCGACAUAUUGGUUGACUUAGUUGACUCAAGGAACAAUUUGUUGCGCGAGUACACGAUGCUUGAUAUAUUACUCAAUUUUGACAUCAACAUUUCAUCUCAAAUCACUUAGAAUCACACAUCAACAAUAUACAUAUGUCUUAAUUGAAUUGAACUAUGUUAUCGAUGAAAUUGUUUUUAGCAUUUAAGUAUAUAUUUUUAUUUUUUUAGUAUAAUAGCUUCAAAAUAGAAUAGUAUUUCUCACUUUACUAUUUAAUUGCUACAACUUUAAUUAGUAUCUUAAAUUCUCCUCUUUAUAUUACAUUAUAGAAUGUUUACUAUUUUAUCAAAUUAAAAUUAUUUUACACUACAAAUACAUGUUAUUAAUUAUAAUCCAAAGUAAAAUGAUUCACACCUCAAAUUACAAACUAUCAUAGCUCAACUAUAAUAACUUAAGAUGAUAACAAUCUCCCUUGCUCCAAACACUCCAAAAAUAUUAUAAGAAGAUUAUAGGUAGUUUAGAAAUUCUAGAAGGAGAUUAUCAACCAUGUAUAAUACUCAUAUUUAUAAUUGAUGAGGAUGAGAUCUCAACCGUCCAAAGUUUGUUGUCAUUUUUCUAUUAAUUCGACAUCACCAAUCCAUCCCAUUUAGCUUGUCAUGUGAGGAUUUUUUUUUUGUGUGAGUAAUGAGAAAAAGAUGUACAAAGAUGAUUAUUGUUUCGAGUGCACCAAAGAUCAAGUAUUACUUUUCCUCUAACAAGAGUAUAUUAAUUUAAACUAUCCGUACUAACGAUUUACAUCCUCUCAAAAUCACUAAAUUUUCUUCCUAAACCAACCAAUUCAAACAUUUGAUUAUAACAACUUUCAACAUCCUAGCAUGUAUUACAAUUAGAAGAUAUGAAAGUUUAGAAUAUUAUAUCAGUAAUCAUUAUGUAUUUAUAUUUUCCUUAAUUCUUCCAUAUUUCUCCCUCACAUACAUCAAAUUUUGCUAUGCUUCUUUCUAACUUUGUUUUAUGAUAUAACUUUCUGACCCAAAAUAUAUAUUUACUACAAACAAAAUCAAUUUUAUUUCAACAUCUUUCCCUAAUAACAGCCGGUAGCCUUGAACUACUACUUCCCGGCCACAGUCAUGGCCUGACCGACGACGGAGAAAAUGGCAAAAUGACAUUAUUAAUCACUUUAGUUUGGUGUUCAUUGUUUUGGGGUUUGUAAGAAGUGGCAAACGACGGUGCAGUCGUCUUGUUUUGAAGAAGGCCAGCGUUUCCAAGCCUCUGUCGCCGCAUCCACCACCGCUUUCGCCGCCGCUUCUUCACUCUCCGCCGCCCAAACGAUGGACGCUACUUCGUCGUUGCUCAGCACAUCCCAUAUCUGAGAAUAAUCGAAAAACCCCACAUCUCAAAAUUACUAAAUUUGCUAAUUAAUUUGAUUUUUUUUAAAAUCUACGGAAUGAAAUAUGUUUCUCUCUUUUUCUUGCUUUAAAUGAAUAAAGUAGUUAUUUAUUGCAUUUAAAAAUCAAAGUCAACAAUUUUUUUGAACAUAAUAGGAGAUGAAGUAAAUUAAAACCAUGGGAAUCUUGGAGAACUAUCGAAAAAAAAAAGAAAAGAGAAGAGAGGAUUACCCCAUCAGUGGCGAGAACGAUGAAGCGAUCGAGAGAAGUGAGAGGGCGGAAGGAGACAUCAGGGAGAUUAAUAAUGCCAUAAUCUUUAAGAGCAAAAUCACCAAAAGCUCUUGACAUAGCCAGCCCCGGUGAGUCUUCGUUGGGGAGCCACACUCUUUGUAUAUGAGCUUCGUCUUUCAGCGCCAAGACUCUCCCUUUACAUCUUCUUAUUCGCUCACCCUCACUCUCCAAUCCAGGCUUUAAAUCUGUAGUUAACUGAACGGCUUUGAUUCCUCCAUCCUCCCUCAUCCUCCCCAUCACCGCCCUUGAAUCUCCCAAAUUCCCAAUCACCAAAUAAUCUUCCUGUUUUCAACAUAUCAUUCAUUAUCAUCUCCCCUUUAAUUUGUUUUUUAAAAAACGAGAAGAAGAAAAGAAAAAAAAUGAAAACAUUAUUAUGUAACAGGAUCUUAAUCAUUACCUGUUUGACCAUAACAACAGCGGUUGAUCCACUGCAAGAGCCAUCCAAAUUCUCUUGGAGUUUGAUCUCUUUAUCCAUAACCUUGAAGGAAGUUUCAAAAGCUUCUUUCCAUGCAUUGAAACUCUUCCUCUUCACCAAGCUUGACUUAGCAGUUACCUCCCCAAGCAAUAAUGAAGGCAAUCUAUUCUUCACUAAAUUGCUCACAAUAUGACCAUUUGGUCCAUGCCCAUCAAAAACUCCAAACAAAUCACUCUCUUCAACUUCUCCAUACUCCUAAUUCACAAAACAAACACACAAAUUUAAUAAUUCUAAAUACGUAAUAAUUAAAACAAACAAAUCUAAUUAAAUUACCUGAUAUGCAAAAGCAGCAUCUUGAUUGAUUCCUUUGCUGCCUUGCUUAGAACAAAUGGAUUCGAGUUUCUGAAUCCCGCAAACAGAAUAACAUGACUUAUAAUGAUCUUCUUCAAUAAUAAUACUUCCAACUUUGUUAGUUUCAUGGCGAAUCUGAGAAGAUGCAGAGGAUAUACAGAUUCCCAUUGUCAAAGGUGUGUGAGGAGGGGAAGUUUGAAGAAAUGACAAUGUCCUUUGCCUUUAAAUCAAUAAAUUGAAUGGGUCCUACAUGGGCAGAUUAGCAAAUUAAUCAGUUAUAUUAUAUAGUUUUAGCAGCUGCCCGUUGACUCAGAAUCAUUCACUUGCCUUUGAGUAAUUCAUAAUUUAUAAUGGAACCAACAAAGAAUAUACAAACUUUGGCCAUCUCAACACUCUACCCAAUAGGCAAUAACCCACAAACCAAAAUAGAUCAUAGAGAAGAAAAAUCUUAAAUCUUUGGCUGUUUAUUAAAAAAAAAAAAACACCCUUCUUGGUAAUAAUUAAAAAGUAACUAUAUAUCAUCCUCAACUUUUUACAAACAAGAAAUUCGUUACGAGUUUGGAUGAAAUUUCAAAUGUAGAAUAAAGAGGUAGUGAGAUAAUUUAACAUGGUUGUGAUGAAGUUGGAAAAAACCUUCACUACUAACAAUAUAAACAAAUAUUUCCUUGAUUCUUAUAAGAGAAUUCUCCAAUAACAUUAUAUCACUAAUCCCCAUAGUUAGUUUAAUAAACUUAAAAUACUAAAAUCGGUUUUGAACUUUUUUAACAUGGAGAACUACACUUCUAAUAAUUUGUCAACUCCAACGCUACGUUAUUAUAGGAUUGUGGUUUUAGUUUCCGAGUCUCCUUCAACAUUUUUAUGAAUUUAUAUCGUAAUGUAUUUUUCAACCCAUUAAAAAAAGGUUUUUCUAAAAAA